GAUGAACGCUGGCGGCGUGCCUAAUACAUGCAAGUCGAGCGAACAGAUGAGGAGCUUGCUCCUCUGACGUUAGCGGCGGACGGGUGAGUAACACGUGGAUAACCUACUAUAAGAAUGGGAUAACUUCGGGAAACCGGAGCUAAUACCGGAAAAUAUAUUGAACCGCCUGGUUCAAUAGUGAAAGACGGUUUUGCUGUCACUUAAAGAUUGAUCCGCGCCGCAUUAGCUUGUUGGUAAGGUAACGGCUUACCAAGGCAACGAUGCGUAGCCGACCUGAGAGGGUGAUCGGCCACACUGGAACUGAGACACGGUCCAGACUCCUACGGGAGGCAGCAGUAGGGAAUCUUCCGCAAUGGGCGAAAGCCUGACGGAGCAACGCCGCGUGAGUGAUGAAGGUCUUCGGAUCGUAAAACUCUGUUAUUAGGGAAGAACAAAUGUGUAAGUAACUAUGCACGUCUUGACGGUACCUAAUCAGAAAGCCACGGCUAACUACGUG
rnacentral:rRNA from 1 species